AUUGAACGCUGGCGGCAGGCCUAACACAUGCAAGUCGAGCGGCAGCGGGAAAGUAGCUUGCUACUUUUGCCGGCGAGCGGCGGACGGGUGAGUAAUGCCUGGGAAAUUGCCCAGUCGAGGGGGAUAACAGUUGGAAACGACUGCUAAUACCGCAUACGCCCUACGGGGGAAAGCAGGGGACCUUCGGGCCUUGCGCGAUUGGAUAUGCCCAGGUGGGAUUAGCUAGUUGGUGAGGUAAUGGCUCACCAAGGCGACGAUCCCUAGCUGGUCUGAGAGGAUGAUCAGCCACACUGGAACUGAGACACGGUCCAGACUCCUACGGGAGGCAGCAGUGGGGAAUAUUGCACAAUGGGGGAAACCCUGAUGCAGCCAUGCCGCGUGUGUGAAGAAGGCCUUCGGGUUGUAAAGCACUUUCAGCGAGGAGGAAAGGUUGAUGCCUAAUACGUAUCAACUGUGACGUUACUCGCAGAAGAAGCACCGGCUAACUCCGUGCCAGCAGCCGCCGCCG
rnacentral:rRNA from 1 species